UAGCUAGUUGGUGAGGUAAAGGCUUACCAAGGCCACGAUCUGUAGCGGGUCUGAGAGGAUGAUCCGCCACACUGGAACUGAGACACGGUCCAGACUCCUACGGGAGGCAGCAGUGGGGAAUUUUGGACAAUGGGGGCAACCCUGAUCCAGCCAUGCCGCGUGAGUGAAGAAGGCCUUCGGGUUGUAAAGCUCUUUCGGCCGGGAAGAAAUCGCAUGGGCCAAUACCCUGUGUGGAUGACGGUACCGGAAUAAGAAGCACCGGCUAACUACGUGCCAGCAGCCGCGGUAAUACGUAGGGUGCGAGCGUUAAUCGGAAUUACUGGGCGUAAAGCGUGCGCAGGCGGUUUUGUAAGACAGGCGUGAAAUCCCCGGGCUUAACCUGGGAACUGCGUUUGUGACUGCAAGACUAGAGUACGGCAGAGGGGGGUGGAAUUCCACGUGUAGCAGUGAAAUGCGUAGAGAUGUGGAGGAACACCAAUGGCGAAGGCAGCCCCCUGGGUCGAUACUGACGCUCAUGCACGAAAGCGUGGGUAGCAAACAGGAUUAGAUACCCUGGUAGUCCACGCCCUAAACUAUGUCAACUAGGUGUUGGGUGGGUAAAACCAUUUAGUACCGUAGCUAACGCGUGAAGUUGACCGCCUGGGGAGUACGGCCGCAAGGUUAAAACUCAAAGGAAUUGACGGGGACCCGCACAAGCGGUGGAUGAUGUGGAUUAAUUCGAUGCAACGCGAAAAACCUUACCUACCCUUGACAUGCCAGGAACUUGCCAGAGAUGGCUUGGUGCCCGAAAGGGAGCCUGGACACAGGUGCUGCAUGGCUGUCGUCAGCUCGUGUCGUGAGAUGUUGGGUUAAGUCCCGCAACGAGCGCAACCCUUGUCGUUAAUUGCCAUCAUUUAGUUGGGCACUUUAACGAGACUGCCGGUGACAAACCGGAGGAAGGUGGGGAUGACGUCAAGUCCUCAUGGCCCUUAUGGGUAGGGCUUCACACGUCAUACAAUGGUCGGUACAAAGGGUAGCCAAGCCGCGAGGCGGAGCCAAUCCCAGAAAGCCGAUCGUAGUCCGGAUUGCAGGCUGCAACUCGCCUGCAUGAAGUCGGAAUCGCUAGUAAUCGUGGAUCAGCAUGUCACGGUGAAUACGUUCCCGGGUCUUGUACACACCGCCCGUCACACCAUGGGAGCGGGUUCCGCCAGAAGUAGGUAGCCUAACCGCAAGGGGGGCGCUUACCACGGCGGGGUUCGUGACUGGGGUGAAGUCGGAACAAGGUAGCCGUAGGGGAACCUGCGGCUG
rnacentral:rRNA from 1 species